ACGGAUGUGGUGCAGUGGUAGCACGCUUGCCUUGGGAGCAAGAGGUCACAGGUUCGAACCCUGUCAUUCGUA
rnacentral:tRNA from 2 species